rnacentral:rRNA from 1 species
CUCCUGGAAACGGGUGGUAAUGCCGGAUGUUCCACAUGAGCGCAUGCGAGUGUGGGAAAGGCUUUUUGCGGCAUGGGAUGGGGUCGCGUCCUAUCAGCUUGUUGGUGGGGUAACGGCCUACCAAGGCGUUGACGGGUAGCCGGCCUGAGAGGGCGACCGGCCACAUUGGGACUGAGAUACGGCCCAGACUCCUACGGGAGGCAGCAGUGGGGAAUAUUGCACAAUGGGCGCAAGCCUGAUGCAGCGACGCCGCGUGCGGGAUGGAGGCCUUCGGGUUGUAAACCGCUUUUGCUCAAGGGCAAGGCACGGUUUCGGCCGUGUUGAGUGGAUUGUUCGAAUAAGCACCGGCUAACUACGUGCCAGCAGCCGCGGUAAUACGUAGGGUGCAAGCGUUAUCCGGAUUUAUUGGGCGUAAAGGGCUCGUAGGCGGUUCGUCGCGUCCGGUGUGAAAGUCCAUCGCUUAACGGUGGAUCCGCGCCGGGUACGGGCGGGCUUGAGUGCGGUAGGGGAGACUGGAAUUCCCGGUGUAACGGUGGAAUGUGUAGAUAUCGGGAAGAACACCA